ensembl:lncRNA
UCUGAAAUAGAUGUAAAUUUUGCAGGUGGCCAAAGCAGGCAGCCGUGGGGCUGUGACAGGAAAGGCCACCCUCGCCACCAAGACCCCGCCGGCCUCACGUUCUGUUGUCGAAAGACACCUGCCUGCUUUGCGACUCCAUCUCCACUGAAACGGCCCUGCAGGCAUUUGCAGGGAUCUCCACCGAAACGGCCCCUGCAGGCAUUUGCAGGGAUCGGUCCUUUUCCCUUGAGCACCUACUUUAUUCCUCUCCCCAGAAUCAGGAGGCGCAGCCCUGAUCAAUCUUGCCACUUACGCCAACCCACUGGUAUUGUCACUUUUCAAUCUCUUUAACAUACAUGCAGGAAGAAAGACAGCCAGUGUGGAACACAGUUCAGCAAGGCCAAAGAGGAGCAGUGGCCUCAUCCCAGGACGUGCUGGGCAGGCACCACAGUGCCGGCGUCCCCACAUCCAGGACAAAGCUGAGUGCAAGUGUCACCGUGAGGUGGCCUGUGUGAUCCUGGCCCACUGACCCCCUCAGGUGAAAGAGAGCGGGAGACGCCUCUCAGCCAGGACUCAGACCACCAGCACGCAGCACCCAGUACCCACAGGUAAGCAUGUGCACCUGAGUAGAGAGGAGACCUUGGUAUAGAGGGGACAGUGAUGUGACGGCCACCAAGUCCAUGCUCUGACCCCCCCGCCCAGCAGCAGGGGUGCCAGCCUCAUUGUGGAGUAUUGCAGCAUGUGGGGAAAUGAUUUUAUUUUCCUCAUCACUGCUACCAGCUGGGCGCUAAUGAGCGCCCAGUUCUGGUUCCAUUGGUGACAUUUCAGUUCACACAUCACUGUCAUUUGGGGUGGAUAAGUCCAAGCCACUUAAACCUCAGGCUCACAUUGAUUAGAAACUUCCCUCCAGUCUCAGUUUCAGGCUUCUGCUCUUUCCCGGACCAUCAGGAGAAACGGCAACGGGAGAAGCAAAGAGAAGGCGUGGAGCCGAGAGGAGAAGGGAGGCCGUGCUCGUCAGGAAGCAGGUGAACGACCUUCAGGCUGCAGUUCCCACUGCACCCACCCCAGUCCCGGCCACAACAAUGGGAUACAAGGAAGCCUCCUGCAGGCAUCUGGGCUCUGACCCAACCAGAGACCAGGCCACGGCAGUCAAGGGUGAAGACGGCCCCACAGAGGCCCUGGAGCAGCGUGGACUGGACUCAUCACCUUCUUUCUUAUGCCUCGUCCUGGGGCCAGAGUGGCCGGCAUUGUUUGGUGUGAUUUAACUUUCUCAGGGGCACCGGGCAGGGAACCCCUGGGAGAGUGAUAAAGACUCAGUUUCCACCCUCGGAGAGCUUGCCUGCUAAUAGAACCCCAGCAGCCAGGCCACCAGCAGCCCAGUCCUCUGCGGGACUUCAGACUUUUGUCACCCCGGGCUUUGUACCCCAGACUCCCCUGGACAAAGCCCACCUGCUGUCCGGGUCGUGGCUACCUAGCAGCAGGGGAGCACGUGUACUAAACACCAGCAGAGCCAGGAUGCCAGUCCCCUGAACGGACUUCGUUCAGUGCCCCCACCAUACUGGAACCCUUUAGGGAAAGAAGAGAGGGAGCUCCCUGGAGGCUGUGGUUCUGUGGGCCUCUGCGAUCCUAAUCAACGCGACCAGUCCUGUUUGGAAGUCUCAUCUAAAAUCUUAGCGCCUAUUUUGGAGGAAUGGCAGAGAGUGACCCAGGAAGGGUCACAUCCUAUCUGGAUCCUAAGACACACACAGACGGGGAGGACCAGAGUGCUCGAGGGGCCGGGGGCUGCUUACAG